rnacentral:rRNA from 1 species
UUGAACGCUGGCGGCAUGCUUUACACAUGCAAGUCGAACGGUAGACCCUUUCGGGGGUUGAGAGUGGCGAACGGGUGAGUAAUAUAUCGGAACGUGCCCCGUCGUGGGGGAUAACGCAGCGAAAGCUGUGCUACUACCGCAUACGAUCUCUGGAUGAAAGCGGGGGACUCGCAAGGGCCUCGCGCGAUUGGAGCGGCCGAUAUCAGAUUAGCUAGUUGGCGGGGUAAAGGCCCACCAAGGCGACGAUCUGUAGCUGGUCUGAGAGGACGACCAGCCACACUGGAACUGAGACACGGUCCAGACUCCUACGGGAGGCAGCAGUGGGGAAUUUUGGACAAUGGGCGCAAGCCUGAUCCAGCAAUGCCGCGUGCAGGAUGAAGGCCUUCGGGUUGUAAACUGCUUUUGUACGGAACGAAACGGUUCUUUCUAAUAAAGAGGGCUAAUGACGGUACCGUAAGAAUAAGCACCGGCUAACUACGU